rnacentral:misc_RNA from 1 species
CAUAGUGUUACAUAAAUUUUUAAUUUAAAUUCUUGCGGCGCAGCGUGCGGACAAUUAACUAGUUUAACUAAAAGUUUCAAGUAAAAUUACGCCUACUUGACAGGGAUCAUUCAAAUGUUGCUGCUAAUAUAUUCGUCUUCCACAUGAGCCUACCAGUGGGGGGUUAGGGUUGUGGCAGGCAGGGGGAGGAAGAGAGAGAUCGCGUUUACGGAAUUAGAUAAGCUUGCAUGAGAGAUCACGUUUACAAAACACAUUUCCCAUGUUAUGUAAGCUUUCAUGAAAUGCCCCAGGGGGCAGAAAACAAAAAAACAAGGAUUCACAAUAAUAUUCUCGUGAAAAGUUGAAAAUAUAAAAAUUGAAAACCUGAACUUCUAGUUCCUUGAUACCCCUCAUUUGUACUGUCAAAAAAUUAUCUAUGCACCUUCAUUGCCCUAUGUUCAAGUAGA